rnacentral:rRNA from 1 species
GGUGUAAAGGGUGCUCAGGUGGUCUUGUAAGUCAGAGGUGAAAUCCCGGAGCUCAACUCCGGAACUGCCUUUGAUACUACAAGGCUUGAGUAUGGAAGAGGUUGAUGGAAUUUCGGGUGUAGCAGUGAUAUGCGUAGAUAUCCGAAAGAACACCAGUGGCGAAGGCGGUCAACUGGUCCAUUACUGACACUAAAGCACGAAAGCGUGGGUAGCGAACAGGAUUAGAUACCCUGGUAGUCCACGCCUUAAACAAUGAAUACUAGACGUUGGGGUUAAACUCAGUGUCGCAGCUAACGCAUUAAGUAUUCCACCUGGGGAGUACGAUCGCAAGGUUGAAACUCAAAGGAAUUGACGGGGGCCCGCACAAGCAGUGGAGCAUGUGGUUCAAUUCGAUGCAACGCGAAGAACCUUACCAGGCCUUGACAUCCCGGUCGCGGACUCUUGAAAGAGAGUCUUUCAGUUCGGCUGGACCGGUGACAGGUGCUGCAUGGCUGUCGUCAGCUCGUGUCGUGAGAUGUUGGGUUAAGUCCCGCAACGAGCGCAACCCUCGCCCUUAGUUGCCAUCAUUAAGUUGGGCACUCUAAGGGGACUGCCGGUGAUAAGCCGCGAGGAAGGUGGGGAUGACGUCAAGUCCUCAUGGCCCUUACGGCCUGGGCCACACACGUGCUACAAUGGCGGUGACAGUGAGCAGCUAACUCGCGAGAGUAUGCUAAUCUCAAAAAGCCGUCUCAGUUCGGAUUGCACUCUGCAACUCGGGUGCAUGAAGUUGGAAUCGCUAGUAAUCGUGGAUCAGCACGCCACGGUGAAUACGUUCCCG